GGAUGAUCAGGACUGUGUUGAGUAGAUGUCACCUGUCAAAGAGCAUGUGUUGAAUGAGGAGCAGAGCUUUUUUGUCCCCGCUGAAGGAGUUAAGGAGAUGAGAUCAACAUGACAGAUUCUGAUGACGCUGAUCCUGAA